UUUCCGUAGGUGAACCUGCGGAAGGAUCAUUCAUAAUAAAGUGUUUUAUGGCACUUUUUAAAAAUCCAUAUCCACCUCGUGUGCAAUGUUAGAUCUCGUCAAUCUUGGCGAGAUUUUUAUACAUCAACUCAUUCUUUAACUAAUUUGUCUGAAAAAUAUUAUGAAUACUUAAUUCAAAAUACAACUUUCAACAACGGAUCUCUUGGCUCUC
rnacentral:misc_RNA from 1 species